rnacentral:rRNA from 1 species
AAAUUGAAGAGUUUGAUCAUGGCUCAGAUUGAACGCUGGCGGCAGGCCUAACACAUGCAAGUCGAACGGUAGCACAGAGAGCUUGCUCUCGGGUGACGAGUGGCGGACGGGUGAGUAAUGUCUGGGAAACUGCCCGAUGGAGGGGGAUAACUACUGGAAACGGUAGCUAAUACCGCAUAACGUCGCAAGACCAAAGUGGGGGACCUUCGGGCCUCACACCAUCGGAUGUGCCCAGAUGGGAUUAGCUAGUAGGUGGGGUAACGGCUCACCUAGGCGACGAUCCCUAGCUGGUCUGAGAGGAUGACCAGCCACACUGGAACUG